GUGGGUUUUGCAUCCUUAGAGGCAACUUGGCAAGCCCCAAAAAUGCUUUGUUCUGCAGGCGAGGCUUUGUAGGAGUGCCCCAUCACCUGAUCCGCAUGAAUAGGCCUUUUCCUCCUUAAGCUUCACUCCCAGCUGGUGGACCAUGAACUGCUGAGCCCUGGCUGAAAGGGCAGGGCUGAUGAAGGCAGGAGGCCAAGGAGUCACCAGCCAGCAAACAGGAGAGCAGAGAUUUAUCUGCCUCUGAAGCAGAGACAAAGUCAAAUGAAGACUUGGAGCUCAUCCCUUUGGACUUCAGAGAAGCAGCUGACACGCCAUCAAAGGGGGAUUAACAAACUGAAGAUACUUCUGCUAAAAGACAAGGAACAAAAAGGAACUGGCUACAAGGGAGAAAACAGAAACAAGUGUUGAGAGAGGAAGGAUGUGCCUGAAGAG